rnacentral:rRNA from 1 species
UACGGAGGGUGCGAGCGUUGUCCGGAAUCAUUGGGCGUAAAGCGCGCGUAGGCGGUUACUUAAGUCGGAUGUGAAAGCCCUCGGCUUAACCGAGGAAGUGCAUCCGAAACUGAGUAGCUAGAGUACUAAAGAGGGUCGCGGAAUUUCCGGUGGAGCGGUGAAAUGCGUAGAGAUCGGAAAGAACACCAACGGCGAAAGCACUCUGCUGGGCCGACACUGACACUGAGAGACGAAAGCUAGGGGAGCGAAUGGG